rnacentral:lncRNA from 1 species
CAUGCUUUUUGCAUUUUUACAGGAAAGCUAGAAAAUGUAAUCAAAAACUUAACUCCAGAUGGCAAAAAAAGUCUAGAUUUCUUGAGGAGUAAAUACGGAAAGGAGUCUACAGACAGUGUUUUAAUUGUGCAGUUUGUAGGAUCCGAUAGAAAGGUGAUCAGAAGAAUUGGUGGGCUGCCACGGAAAAGCAAAGAUAAAAGUUCCAAAAAAAUCAAGUUCUGAUGAUUGGAUAUCAACAUUGAAGUCUUGUUUCAAGUAUCAAAAUUUUAAUAUGGACGAUGUCUUUUUUGUGAUUAAUAAAGAAGAUGAAAAAACUAAAAUCACUGUCGAAUUGCUGGAAAUGAGAAGAAGAAAAAUGCACAAAAAAGAUUUAUUGGUAUAUGUUGUGCUGCCAAAAAAAACAUGAACCUUCAGAAGUAUUUGUUGAUGAUUGGUGAACGAAAAACUUGGAGACGAUAAAGUCUGAUGAUUCAAGCUGUGAUGUUGUUCCAUCUAUAACGACUGCUGGAGUAUUCAAAGAAUAGAAUAGUUUCAGCUAUUGUACUCGCCCUAGCUUCACCAUCACUGACACCUUAGUUAUUCUUUCACAUG